CGCCGCCGCACCCGACCACCAAAUAAACAGGUUCUGGAUAUUAACUAACACAUGCCCGGUUCUUAUCAGUUUUGCGUGAGAUUUGGCUGGCCCAAAUAGCAAAAGCAAAAGGAAGCUUCAGACGUCAUUGUAAGCUUCCUAAUAGUCUUCCAAAACAAUUUCCUAAUCAUCUCCUCAAAUCCCGUGACUAUUCCUUUCCUUCAACAUCUCUCCUUUUUCACCUUCCUGUGUAUAUAAUCUCUAAUGACCAAUUGGGCACUACGCCGUGGGGAGGAGCAGUGGAGCACAUCAUGCAUGGAUGCCCAUGCUGCUCACCAACCGCCGUGGUCGCCGCUGCACGGAAUACCACCAUGAGCACGGCCUCCUUAGCUGCUCCGACUCUCCGUAGUACUGCUCCUCCAGCUACCGGCCCUUCCCCUUCUAUUUUGAAUUUUCUAGAACAAUGGGUAAGCAGCUACCAACUAUGAAUGGAAUAAGUCUAAAAAGAAGCUUGGGUAUGCUGAUAUGUGCCUUCAGGUUAUAAGAUAAGGGAGCAAGUGAAACAACCCAGAAGCUUAUGAUAUUGUUACUGUGGAGAUACCUGGAAGCUUGCAUAUCCAGAAUCGAUCUUCACUUCAGCUACAAGUGAGGUAUAUUGAGCCUAUUGAUGCAUAGUUACAUAAAGAUAGAAGAAUU